AUACCCUAUUAUUUUUAAUGUAAAAAAUAAAGACUGGAAUAUUAAUAGAAAUGAUCUUGAAAUUUAAAGAAUUUGGCGGUAUUAUAGGUCUAUUUAGAGGAAUCUGUUAUGUAAUCGAUAAUCCACGUUGAACCUUACUUGUAUAAAUUCUUGUAUAUCGCUGUUAUAGUCAUAUUUAUAGAUUAUUAAAAAAAAAUGAAAUCUUAUAAUUUCAAGUCAUGGUGCAGUAAUAAUAUACAAGAAAGUAAUGGAUUACAAUAAAUUGUAUUUAAUACGGAUUAAAAUUGAAAUAAUUGAAUUGAAGGUGGAUUUAAUUGUAAUAAUAUAAAGAUUAAUAAUUUGAUUAUAGCUCUGUAAUAUGUACACAUCGC
rnacentral:rRNA from 1 species